rnacentral:misc_RNA from 1 species
UCACCCCUCAAGCCCCGUGCUUGGUGUUGGACGGGUUGGUCGGGGCUUCCCUCGACCCCUCCUAAAGACAAUGACGGCGGCCUGUGGUUCCCCCGGUACACUGAGCUUCUUAACCGAGCACGUACCGGACGAGGGCGCCCGGGCCACGGUCCUCUCCCCGUAACGGGAAACACUUUUAACUAA